rnacentral:rRNA from 1 species
AAAGCUCAAAUUUAAAAUCUGGCGGUUUCACCGUCCGAGUUGUAAUCUAGAGAAGUGUUUUCCGCGCUGGACCGUGUACAAGUCUCUUGGAAUAGAGCGUCAUAGAGGGUGAGAAUCCCGUCUUUGACACGGACUACCAGUGCUUUUGUGAUGCGCUCUCAACGAGUCGAGUUGUUUGGGAAUGCAGCUCAAAAUGGGUGGUAAAUUCCAUCUAAAGCUAAAUAUUGGGGAGAGACCGAUAGCGAA